CAGGUUGUGAUGGAGCCGCGCACAUCAACUCUCCAGUUGCUCGGCUGCGAAGGCAACAAGGACCGUGCACCUCGAUGGCACUGCCUCAAAGGGGGCUGCUUAGUGCAAAACCAGCCCUUGCAAGGUGAAACCAUCUUCUGGACGAUGGCAGGUCCUGGGUGGCAGCGGCUCACUUGCAUUUCUCAGAAGGUGAGGCUCUUGGAGCCAGGAGUUUGCUAUUUGUCAUGAACAUUUGUUCCGCUCUUCAAGAAAG